rnacentral:rRNA from 1 species
UACGAAGGUCCCAAGCGUUAUCCGGAUUUAUUGGGUUUAAAGGGUGCGUAGGCGGGCUAUUAAGUCAGUGGUGAAAGCCCCAAGCUUAACUUGGGAACUGCCAUUGAUACUGAUAGUCUUGAGUACAUUUGAGGUGGGCGGAAUGUGUCAUGUAGCGGUGAAAUGCUUAGAUAUGACACAGAACACCGAUUGCGAAGGCAGCUCACUAAACUGUAACUGACGCUGAGGCACGAAAGCGUGGGGAGCAAACAGG